rnacentral:rRNA from 1 species
CUGCCCGCAACAGGGGGAUAACCCGGCGAAAGUCGGACUAAUACCGCAUAAAACAGGGGUCCCGCAUGGGAAUAUUUGUUAAAGAUUUAUCGGUUGCGGAUGGGCAUGCGUACCAUUAGGUAGUUGGUGAGGUAACGGCUCACCAAGCCUUCGAUGGUUAGGGGUUCUGAGAGGAAGGUCCCCCACACUGGUACUGAGACACGGACCAGACUCCUACGGGAGGCAGCAGUGAGGAAUAUUGGUCAAUGGGCGAGAGCCUGAACCAGCCAAGUCGCGUGAAGGAUGACUGCCCUAUGGGUUGUAAACUUCUUUUACAAGGGAAUAAAAUGAGAUACGUGUAUUUUAUUGCAUGUACCUUGGGAAUAAGCAUCGGCUAACUCCGUGCCAGCAGCCGCGGUAAUACGGAGGAUGCGAGCGUUAUCCGGAUUUAUUGGGUUUAAAGGGUGCGUAGGUGGGCUGUUAAGUCAGCGGUGAAAGUUUGUCGCUUAACGAUAAAAUUGCCGUUGAAACUGGUAGUCUUGAGUAUAGAUGAAGUAGGCGGAAUGCGUGGUGUAGCGGUGAAAUGCAUAGAGAUCACGCAGAACUCCGAUUGCGAAGGCAGCUUACUAAGGUAUAA